rnacentral:rRNA from 1 species
UACGGAGGGUGCGAGCGUUGUCCGGAAUCACUGGGCGUAAAGGGCGCGUAGGUGGCGGAGCAAGUCAACGGUGAAAGCUCGACGCUCAACGUCGAGUCGGCCGUCGAUACUGCUUGCUCGAGCACUGUAGAGGCAGAUGGAAUUCCGGGUGUAGCGGUGGAAUGCGUAGAGAUCCGGAAGAACACCGGUGGCGAAGGCGGUCGCUGG